UCGGAUUGUAGGCUGCAACUCGCCUACAUGAAGUCGGAGUUGCUAGUAAUCGCGGAUCAGAAUGCCGCGGUGAAUGCGUUCCCGGGUCUUGUACACACCGCCCGUCACACCAUGGAAGUUGGGGCGCCCGAAGUUGGUCGGGAAAUAGAUUACCUAAGGCGAAACCAAUGACUGGGGUGAAGUCGUAACAAGGUAAC
rnacentral:rRNA from 1 species